GACCUCCGAUCAAGCAAGAGGACCCGCUGAAUU
rnacentral:rRNA from 1 species